UACAGAGGGGGCAAGCGUUGUUCGGAAUUACUGGGCGUAAAGGGCGCGUAGGCGGUUGGAUAAGUCAGCUGUGAAAACCACGAGCUUAACUCGUGGCCUGCAGUUGAGACUGUCUGGCUUGAGUGUGGGAGAGGAGAGUGGAAUUCCUGGUGUAGCGGUGAAAUGCGUAGAUAUCAGGAGGAACACCGGUGGCGAAGGCGGCUCUCUGGACCACAACUGACGCUGAGGCGCGAAAGCUAGGGGAGCAAACAGG
rnacentral:rRNA from 1 species